UCAGACAUUGUGUAAUGGUAACACCUGCUCUUGCAAUAGUCGAAUUUUUCGUGAUGCUUUAAGAGGCUACUAUUCAGGGUUGGAUUCCCUGUGUCUGAA